rnacentral:rRNA from 1 species
UCGACGGAGAGUUUGAUCCUGGCUCAGGACGAACGCUGGCGGCGCGCUUCAUCCAUGCAAGUCGAACGAACCCGAGACUUCGGUCUCAAUGGGAAAGUGGCGAACGGGUGAGUAACACGUGAGAAACCUACCCCGGAGAUGGGAAUAGCCCAGGGAAACCUGGAUUAAUACCCGAUACCCUGCCUGCACCUCAUGGUGUGUUCAGGAAACGCUCCGGUGCUCCGGGAGGGUCUCGCGGCCUAUCAGCUUGUUGGUGAGGUAACGGCUCACCAAGGCA